GCGGUGAAAUGCGUAGAUAUCGGGAGGAACACCAGUGGCGAAGGCGGGCACCUGGGCUAACACUGACGCUGAUGCGCGGAAGCUAGGGGAGCAAACAGGAUUAGAUACCCUGGUAGUCCUAGCCUUAAACGAUGAUGACUUGGUGUGUCGGGUUUUCAGUCCCGAUGUGCCGGAGCUAACGCGUUAAGUCAUCCGCCUGGGGAGUACGGUCGCAAGACUGAAACUCAAAUGAAUUGACGG
rnacentral:rRNA from 1 species